GACGAACGCUGGCGGCGUGCUUAACACAUGCAAGUCGAACGAAGUGGCGAACGGGUGAGUAAUACGUGAGUAACCUGCCCUCCUUUUUGGGAUAAGCCUUGGAAACGGGGUCUAAUACCGGAUAAAGGGGGAUGGGCCCGCGGCCUAGCAGCUUUGUGGUGGGGUGAUGGCCUGCCAAGGCGGUGGCGGGUAGGCGGCCUGAGAGGGUGGACUGAGACAUUUGGAGUGAGAAACAGGCCAGAAUCCGACGGGGAGCAAGAAGUGGGGAUAAUGGAGAAAGGGGGGAAGUCCGAAGCAGCGGAGGCGCGUGGGGGAUGAAGGCUUUCGGGUUGUAAACCUUUUUCGGUAUCGAAAGGGUAGGUGGAGAAGAAGCGCCGGCUAACUACGUGCCAGCAGCCGCGGUAAUUC
rnacentral:rRNA from 1 species